rnacentral:lncRNA from 1 species
UUCAGAUACACCCUGGAUUAUAUAUAAGAUGCUAAAUUGAAGUCUUGAUGUCCUCCAGCUUCCAUUUACUAGACCAGGGGCAGUGGCCAGGAAUGAACCCUAUGGAGCAUCAUCCUUGGAACCAGGUCACUUGAUGAACACAGUCUGUAGCUUCAAUGACUGGCUUAAGAACUGUUACUCGGGAGAGGAACAAUAGCCAGAGGUGGGCUAGGAGGGCAAGGAGGAUGCUUAAUGCAGACAAACACCAGCCACAUCUCAAGCCCAACUUAACCUGGAACAGCAACAAGAAAGGGAGCCAGCAGGGUGGAGAGACACCCCCGCCCCAGCACACUUCUCCCACAGAAAUUGUCCGAGCUAACGCCUUUCAUAAGAGCAGAGGAACUGCAGCGCCUCUGCACCUCCCACCAAGUCACAGGGCAUCCAUUGUCCGAUCCGUUCGUGACUCCGGGGGUCAUGUCGGCAGCACUGACGCAAAUAAAUGCAUGGCAGAGUCCACACUGAGCUCUCAGUGGAGUGGAGUACCGAGUAGUCCUCUGAGGUGGUCAACCGGAUAUGUGACGAGCCUCGGGCGGUCAUCUGAGCACAUGAGCACACAAUGCUCGCACAGGAAGUGAUUCAAUUCUGUAUCCUUAUGCG